UGCUUAUUACGUAAAGCUCGAGUUCUUGACUCCAUCCUUAUUGUCCUUAGCCAUUUUUAUCAAAAACGCCUCCACAAAAUCGUCACCAUCACCGUCUAACUCA
rnacentral:snoRNA from 1 species